rnacentral:rRNA from 1 species
AAAGAUUAAGCCAUGCAUGUCUAAGUAUAAGCAAUCUAUACAGUGAAACUGCGAAUGGCUCAUUAAAUCAGUUAUCGUUUAUUUGAUAGUACCUUACUACUUGGAUAACCGUGGUAAUUCUAGAGCUAAUACAUGCUAAAAAUCCCGACCUCUGGAAGGGAUGUAUUUAUUAGAUAAAAAACCAAUGCCUUCGGGCUCCUUGGUGAUUCAUGAUAACUUUACGAAUCGCAUGGCCUUGCGCCGGCGAUGGUUCAUUCAAAUUUCUGCCCUAUCAACUUUCGAUGGUAGGAUAGUGGCCUACCAUGGUUU